rnacentral:rRNA from 1 species
GACGAACGCUGGCGGCGUGCUUAACACAUGCAAGUCGAACGGUAAGGCCCUUCGGGGUACACGAGUGGCGAACGGGUGAGUAACACGUGGGUGAUCUGCCCUGCACUUCGGGAUAAGCCUGGGAAACUGGGUCUAAUACCGGAUAGGACCACUGCCUGCAUGGGUGGUGGUGGAAAGCUUUUGCGGUGUGGGAUGGGCCCGCGGCCUAUCAGCUUGUUGGUGGGGUGAUGGCCUACCAAGGCGACGACGGGUAGCCGGCCUGAGAGGGUGACCGGCCCCACGGGGACUGAGAUACGGCCCAGACUCCUACGGGAGGCAGCAGUGGGGAAUAUUGCACAAUGGGCGCAAGCCUGAUGCAGCGACGCCGCGUGAGGGAUGACGGCCUUCGGGUUGUAAACCUCUUGCAGCACCGACGAAGCGCAAGUGACGGUAGGUGCAGAAGAAGGACCGGCCAACUACGUGCCAGCAGCCGCCGCCG